rnacentral:rRNA from 1 species
UACGUAGGGACCAAGCGUUGUUCGGAUUUACUGGGCGUAAAGGGCGCGUAGGCGGCGCGGUAAGUCACUUGUGAAAUCUCUGAGCUUAACUCAGAACGGCCAAGUGAUACUGCAGUGCUAGAGUGUGGAAGGGGCAAUCGGAAUUCUUGGUGUAGCGGUGAAAUGCGUAGAUAUCGGGAGGAACACCAGAGGCGAAGGCGGCUCGCUGGACAAGUAUUGACACUCAACAACGAAAGCGUGGGGAGCAAACAGG